rnacentral:tRNA from 1 species
UGCCCGAUGGUGUAACGGCAGCACACGGGCCUUUGACGCCCUGAGUCAUGGUUCAAAUCCAUGUCGGGCAACCA